rnacentral:rRNA from 1 species
CCUACGGGGUGCUGCAGUGAGGAAUAUUGGUCAAUGGCCGGAAGGCUGAACCAGCCAUGCCGCGUGAAGGUCAGUGCCCUAUGGGCGUUAAACUUCUUUUGUGCGGGAGCAAUAAUGGUCACGUGUGGCCAGACGAGAGUACCGUACGAAUAAGCAUCGGCUAACUCCGUGCCAGCAGCCGCGGUAAUACGGGGGAUUCAAGCGUUAUCCGGAUUUAUUGGGUUUAAAGGGUGCGUAGGCUGUGAGGUAAGUCAGCGGGGAAAUGCCCGCGCUCAACGGGGUGAAGUGCCAUUGAUACUGCCUUGCUGGAAUGCGGAUGCCGUGGGAGGAAUGUGUGGUGUAGCGGUGAAAUGCAUAGAUAUCACACAGAACACCGAUUGCGAAGGCAUCUCACGAAUCCGCGAUUGACGCUGAUGCACGAAAGCGUGGGUAUCAAACAGGAUUAGAUACCCGAGUAGUC